rnacentral:rRNA from 1 species
AUUGAACGCUGGCGGCAUGCCUUACACAUGCAAGUCGAACGGAAACAGGCCUUCGGGUCCUGACUAGUGGUGGACGGGUGAGUAAUGCUUCGGAACGUGUCCAGUGGCGGGGGGUAUCGCAUCGAAAGCUGUGCUAAUACCGCAUGUGAUCUGAGGUUGAGAGCGGGGGACCAGGCAGCAAUGUUUGGCCUCGCGCGUUUCGAGUGGCCGAUGUCGGAUUAGGUAGUUGGUGGGGUAAAGGCCUACCAAGCCGACGAUCUGUAGCUGGUCUGAGAGGACGACCAGCCACACUGGAACUGAGACACGGCCCAGACUCCUACGGGAGGCAGCAGUGGGGAAUUUUGGACAAUGGGCGAAAGCCUGAUCCAGCAAUGCCGCGUGCGGGAAGAAGGCCUUCGGAUUGUAAACCGCUUUUGUACGGGACGAACAGAUUCUGGCUAAUACCUGGGGCUGAUGACGGUACCGUAAGAAUAAGCACCGGCUAACUACGUG